rnacentral:snRNA from 1 species
AAAUUUCAACAAUGCAAAAACCGCAAUUACUUUUGCACCAAGGUGGUUUUCCCAAGGCAAGGCUGAUCCAUUGCACUGAGGAUCUGCUGACCCCUGCAAUUUCCCUAAGGGGGAAACUCGACUGCGUAAUUUGUAUUGGUGGUGGAUUUUGUCUGUGCUUUCCCUCA